rnacentral:lncRNA from 1 species
AAGACGUUGACUACAAAUACUAAAAGGAAUUACAAGAAGUAUGUGAAAACAGUUGCCAACACGUAAAAAUAGUGUUUUUAUUGAACAAUCGUCCAAAGUGACACAAUGGUUUUACUGCGCAUGUCAGUACAUUUCAUUCAUAAAAUUCUAGCACAGGUGUGUGGAAUUUACUACGAUUUACUACGAUUUACUACAGUUGCUACAAUUGGAUCAUCACAAAAAUACAAGACCUUCAGUUGGAUUAUUCCUAUGAACUGGUAAAUUAUAACAUGAACUUCAA